rnacentral:rRNA from 1 species
UACGGGGGGGGCAAGCGUUGUUCGGAAUUACUGGGCGUAAAGGGCGCGUAGGCGGCCAACUAAGUCACACGUGAAAUCCCCGGGCUCAACCUGGGAACUGCGUGUGAUACUGGAUGGCUUGAAUUCGGGAGAGGGAUGCAGAAUUCCAGGUGUAGCGGUGAAAUGCGUAGAUAUCUGGAGGAAUACCGGUGGCGAAGGCGGCAUCCUGGACCGACAUUGACGCUGAGGCGCGAAAGCUAGGGGAGCAAACGGG